CACAUGCAAGUCGAGCGGGGAAAGGUAGCUUGCUACCUAACCUAGCGGCGGACGGGUGAGUAAUGCUUAGGAAUCUGCCUAUUAGUGGGGGACAACAUCUCGAAAGGGAUGCUAAUACCGCAUACGUCCUACGGGAGAAAGCAGGGGACCUUCGGGCCUUGCGCUAAUAGAUGAGCCUAAGUCGGAUUAGCUAGUUGGUGGGGUAAAGGCCUACCAAGGCGACGAUCUGUAGCGGGUCUGAGAGGAUGAUCCGCCACACUGGGACUGAGACACGGCCCAGACUCCUACGGGAGGCAGCAGUGGGGAAUAUUGGACAAUGGGGGGAACCCUGAUCCAGCCAUGCCGCGUGUGUGAAGAAGGCCUUUUGGUUGUAAAGCACUUUAAGCGAGGAGGAGGCUACCGAGAUUAAUACUCUUGGAUAGUGGACGUUACUCGCAGAAUAAGCACCGGCUAACUCUGUGCCAGCAGCCGCGGUAAUACAGAGGGUGCAAGCGUUAAUCGGAUUUACUGGGCGUAAAGCGCGCGUAGGUGGCCAAUUAAGUCCAAUGUGAAAUCCCCGAGCUUAACUUGGGAAUUGCAUUCGAUACUGGUUGGCUAGAGUAUGGGAGAGGAUGGUAGAAUUCCAGGUGUAGCGGUGAAAUGCGUAGAGAUCUGGAGGAA
rnacentral:rRNA from 1 species